GUAUUAUUGUUAAUUUGUUUUUUAUAAUAUUAUUAUUUACUAAACAUCCAUUAGUAAUAAAAUAUUACAAUCUUUUAUGUCAACAUUACUAGUAUGCACGUCAUUUUGUAACAGUAGCCGACGCCAUUCUGGAAUCAAACGGGUUAGGUGGAACAGAGGUGUGGUGUAUAUUUAAAUAGUUACCAGCUUUAAUUACUUCGACAUUAAACGCUUGAAACUGGUAUAAUAAUAAAAACGAAACAGCUAAGUUUGAGUACCUAGUUAACAAAUAAAAUCACCUCAGCUCCAUUCAAGUAGGCAUGCAUUUUAUACAUAUUUUUUUUGCUAUUCUGAUAGGAUCUUUGCUAGAUAAAAUAAUAUUAAUGGUUCAAGCUUUACGAAACAAAAUUAUACCUAGGUACCUAUAGUAGGUAUAUGGUAAGAAAAAUAUAAAUACAUAUAAACAAAGCGCUUUUCGAAUUUGUAAUUAAUUUAACCUUUUUUAACCUAUCCUAUUUAAUAUCACAAACCUUAAAAUAUAAUCAGAUAUUACUAUCUUUGAAUUUUUUUAUUCUAUUUAUAUUGUGCUUUUGUCUAUUUAAUAUGGUACUUUUUUUACCUUAGGUACACAUCUAUUAAGAAAAAUAGAAAUUUAAUUUCUACAAAAUCACACAUUUAUACCUGGAGACAUUUUUCAUCCCUUUAACGUGAUUGCUGUUUAGGAAAUUUUUAUUAUUUAUUUUAUUAUUAUUCAUACCUUUAUAUAAAGGUAUCAAAUGCAAUAGAAUGCCUUGAUACAAUUUUUUACAAUACCAGAUUGUACAGAUUGGCAAUAACAUUUACAUUAUAAACAAUCUUUUAAUGAUUAAGAGCACUUGCAGAAGGGGAGCAGUUAAAUUAUGUACUUAAAUUUUGUAAUGCUGUCACUUUUUAGAAAAUGCAUAAUAUACUUAGUUGUGAAUUUUCACGACUAUAUUAUGCAUUUGCACUUUCAAAAAUAUGUUAUGUACUUAACUGUUUUUGUGAUAAUUAUAAUAAAUAAUAACAUGUGUGCAUCAAUCUAUAUUAUAAUAUCAAUGAUGUAGAUUGUAGACCGUCCAAAAAUAAAUUUUUAAUUGUUAAUCUGACAGUUUAAGUUAUAUAAUAUUUGUAUACUGUUUUUUACUAAUUGCUAUAUAAUUUAUAAUUGUUAAUUUAAAUGCAUUUUUUCUUUCUGUUGUGAUACAAAGUUUAUGUACAGUCAGCAACAAAGCUAGGUUGUACCCGCCAGUACAAGGGACUAUGGGCGGGUGCAAACCUAAUUUAGUUGCUGAUUGUACCUAAGUACUUUUCACGAUAUGAUAAGGCUACUAUCUUACUAGGACACCAGUGGCGGCGCAACCACACACUCUUAACAACAAAAUGUAUACAGAUCUAUGCAGGUCACCUGGUGACCGUUUAGUUGCGCAACCACAACGUGGCUGGGGUCGGAAUAGUCGGGGGUGGCGCAACCACUAAGAGGUAUAGAGCAAUUUGCCGUCUCACUCACUCGACCACCAGUUGCGAUACCAGCACGCCGUACGUUGUAUAUAUUAUAGCGGAGUUAACUCUUCGACGGCAAUUUUUAAUCUGACGAUCCUGGUGUACACUCUGGUGUUUCUAAUUUCAUAGCUUAAGACUGCGGUGGCGCGACCGGUGGCGCCACCAUAGUAUAUAUAGUGUCCUAGUGAGAUAUUGGACUAAAACUUUUACCUGGAUAGCAUAAUUAUUUACUAAAUGCCUUAAUUUUAUAAUAAUAUCUACGUAAUUAACUUUUAAUUUCUUAGAUUAGGUAGGUAAUAUAUAUGAAGGUUGACUUUAUGAGAUUUAGUAGGUAAUAAGAAAUUUUGUCAAUAAUGACAGCAUAUCCUAGUAAAUAAUAAGUAACCUAAUUUAACUAGUACCUAAAGUAGCAAAUUAUAGACUAAAGGCGUAUGCACACCUACCGACUGCAGUGGAGCCAAAGGCAAACUGUCUUUGUUAAAAUGAUAACAACUUAAACUCAGCUUUAAACUCAGCAGACAUGGAUUUGAAAUUAGUAUAAUGAAAACAAAAUAUCGACGAGACUGCAUUCAGUUUUCAGCUGAAAAUAUUGCGAAGUAAAAUGUUAAAAUAUGUGGAUAAUGGAGUAUCCAUAAGUUUCUCAAUGAACUGAUAACUUUUCGAUGCAGGAGGAUAGCGAUAAGUAGGUAUUUGCUUCAAGUAGUUAUUAGAAGUGCUCUAUCCAUAAAUUCACAGAUAGCAGAUAUUAUGUUCAUAUACGCAAUAAGGCACUGCCUAAUGUAUCUUUUUUAAUCAACGUAAUUUACAAUGAAAUUCUAAGUAGGUAGGGAGGAAUUGCGUCCAUUGAGUGCUAGUAGGUAUUCUAAAAAAAUGCAUGGAAUUUAUUUACAAUUAAAAAAAAUAGUUUUGGCUCAAUAUCAUGCAGGGAAUUGUGAUCCUAAUAGAGAUUAAUAUUGUUAAUUAACUAAUAGUUUUAGGUAUUAGACUUUAAUAAAGUUACAUAAUGUU